GGGCUCAUAGCUUAGUUGGUAGAGCAUCGCAUUCGCAUUGCGAAGGCGCCAGUUCGAUUCUGGCUGGGUCCA
rnacentral:tRNA from 1 species